AUUGAACGCUGGCGGCAUGCCUACACAUGCAAGUCGAACGCGAAAGGGGGCAACCCCAAGUAGAGUGGCGAACGGGUGAGCAAUACAUCGGAACACGUCCUGUAGCGGGGGACACCCUCGAGAAAUCGAGGCUAAUACCGCAUACGAUCUACGGAUGAAAGUGGGGGACCGCAAGGCCCAACACUAUAGGAGUGGCCGAUGCCGGAUUAGCUAGUUGGCGGGGUCAAAGCCCACCAAGGCUACGAUCCGUAGCUGGUUUGAGAGAACGACCAGCCACACUGGGACUGAGACACGGCCCAGACUCCUACGGGAGGCAGCAGUGGGGAAUUUUGGACAAUGGGCGAAAGCCUGAUCCAGCCAUGCCGCGUGAGUGAAGAAGGCCUUCGGGUUGUAAAGCUCUUUCGGCGGGGACGAAAUGGCGCGGGGGUAACAUCCCGCGUCGAUGACGGUACCCGAAGAAGAAGGACCGGCUAACUACGUGCCAGCCGCCGCUGUAAAAC
rnacentral:rRNA from 1 species